UGAUAGAACUGGAAAUCACAUAAACUGUACCCUGGCUGAGAGAGAACUUUGGCAUCCAAAGGGGCUUCUUCCAGGACUCCUGAGAUAAAUGGUGGUUUGGGCUGACUGCCAGCAAAUCGAAGCCUGCGCAAGUUU
rnacentral:lncRNA from 12 species